CAGACCCCACUUUGUGGGACUAUACUGGGUAGUUGUUGUUGUUGUUGAAUUGAAGAUACAUUACUACUGAACAGACCCUUAGACUUAAGACUACUAGAAUCCAAAAUGUAGAGUUCUCUAACUUCACCAAAAGCUUGUGGACUUUUCAUUGAAAGGCCCUGCAACACACACCUAAUAGAUGUGAAUAAGACAUCAUAUUUGAACUGAAUGCAAAACCUAUAAACUGACGGUAAGUUGUAUUUGAAAUCUGGAACAUGUAAGACAUUAUUUAGAACAUGACCUAGGAGAAUAGACACACUUCAU
rnacentral:lncRNA from 1 species